UGGUGGCGAGUGGCGAACGGGUGAGUAACAUAUCGGAACGUAUCCAAUAAUGGGGGAUAACUAAUCGAAAGGUUGGCUAAUACCGCAUACGCCCUACGGGGGAAAGCAGGGGAUCUUCGGACCUUGCGUUAAUGGAGCGGCCGAUAUCUGAUUAGCUAGUUGGUGGGGUAAAGGCCCACCAAGGCGACGAUCAGUAGCUGGUCUGAGAGGACGACCAGCCACACUGGAACUGAGACACGGUCCAGACUCCUACGGGAGGCAGCAGUGGGGAAUUUUGGACAAUGGGCGCAAGCCUGAUCCAGCCAUUCCGCGUGAGUGAAGAAGGCCUUCGGGUUGUAAAGCUCUUUCGCAAGGGAAGAAACGAUAGUGACGAAUAAUCACUGUUAAUGACGGUACCUUGAUAAGAAGCACCGGCUAACUACGUGCCAGCAGCCGCGGUAAUACGUAGGGUGCGAGCGUUAAUCGGAAUUACUGGGCGUAAAGCGUGCGCAGGCUGUUUUGUAAGUCAGAUGUGAAAUCCCCGAGCUCAACUUGGGAACUGCGUUUGAAACUACAAGACUAGAAUAUGUCAGAGGGGGGUAGAAUUCCACGUGUAGCAGUGAAAUGCGUAGAGAUGUGGAGGAAUAUCAAUGGCGAAGGCAGCCCCCUGGGAUAAUAUUGACGCUCAUGCACGAAAGCGUGGGGAGCAAACAGGAUUAGAUACCCUGGUAGUCCA
rnacentral:rRNA from 1 species